rnacentral:tRNA from 1 species
GCCUUCGUGGUGUAGUGGUCAGCACGCUCGACGCAUAACUGACAGGUCCGUGGUUCGAAUCCCGGCGAAGGCG